UCCUCCCUCUUUCUUCGUGCUUAACACAUGCAAGUCGAACGGAAAGGCCCUGCUUUUGUGGGGUGCUCGAGUGGCGAACGGGUGAGUAACACGUGAGUAACCUGCCCUUGACUUUGGGAUAACUUCAGGAAACUGGGGCUAAUACCGGAUAGGAGCUCCUGCUGCAUGGUGGGGGUUGGAAAGUUUCGGCGGUUGGGGAUGGACUCGCGGCUUAUCAGCUUGUUGGUGGGGUAGUGGCUUACCAAGGCUUUGCCGGGUAGCCGGCCUGAGAGGGUGACCGGCCACAUUGGGACUGAGAUACGGCCCAGACUCCUACGGGAGGCAGCAGUGGGGAAUAUUGCACAAUGGGCGGAAGCCUGAUGCAGCAACGCCGCGUGCGGGAUGACGGCCUUCGGGUUGUAAACCGCUAUCGCCUGUGACGAAGCGUGAGUGACGGUAAUGGGUAAAGAAGCACCGGCUAACUACGUG
rnacentral:rRNA from 1 species